GUUGCAGCACAGCGUGUCACCAGAGAGGAAAAGAAUAUCCUUGCUGUGCCAAGAAAGAAAAGACCAUGGAUCUACUAGUUGCAGAUUUCAGCAGUAAUGCCAAGGGGGCAAGAAGUGACCAGCAGAACAAUUAGGCCAUGGCAACAGAAGCCAACUACAACCCAUGUUCCAAUCUAUGACCUCCCUCUCCUGCUGGUACAAGGAUAUGUAUUCCUUAGAGCAAAGGAUGCAAUGUCAAGCAAGUUGUGAUACCUCAACUAUCUACAAUUUAACACCAAGGAAAGAACACUGUUUGGAGAAAUGAGAAAGAUUAUCAUCAGUGUCUUUCAGAAGUCAUCAAAAGAAGAAAAGGAGAAAAGAGAGGAGAAAGCAGAAAGAUCUGGAGUCUGGGAAGUUCAAGAGCAUGGCACCAACAUCUGGCAAGGGCUUUCAUUCUGCAUCAUCUCAUGGAGGAAAAUAAAAAGUGUCUUCCAGAGUCCUCACGAGUAUCAGAGAAGGCAUAAUCUGUACACGUGGCUUCAUUUAAAAUGAAAAUAUCAAGCAGUGUCAUUUUCACAAGUAUCCCCACACUGUCUGAGGCUGAAAAGAAGAGUGUAGCUAUGCACACUGCAGUGAGAAGAAAAUUUCAGCUCAAUUGGAGGAUGUAAAGAUUGAAAUACCACUGCUCCUAGUUCUGAUGCAAAAUUGAAAAGAGUGCACUGGGUCUUCAAAUGGCAUAUUGACAAGGAGAAAGAGGAAAGGAUGCCCCAGGACAGCCUGGGGGUCAAGGCUGGGCUCAGGCAUGCCUGGACAAGCCAUGCAAGUUGUCUCCGGACUUGAACCACGUAUCAGAGGAGCUAUUUGAGGAGCCACAUCAGCAUACCUGCUUCUGUGGGCCCCCAGGCUGUGGUGCUCAGCCCUUGCACUAUGAAACAUUUUUUUUUUCCAGAAGCCAAAGCUUUGAGCAUCUCCUCCCAUGUAGAGAGUGUAUAUGUUUACGUCCAUGUCUUUCGCCAUGUGAACGCAUGCAACCACCACCUCAAAUAUCAUAAAUCCUCUCUCUCCCCCUUUCUGUCUGCCUGUUUAUCUACAAUCUGUCUAUUUAAAUUCUUUUUAAACAAGAAGGGAAUAUCUUUAUGCCUGUUUGUAGGGAUAUUCUACAUCCAUCUGUUAUUUACAUCAUUCGUUUUCCUGAGGUGUCUCCAACAAAUCCUGGCUGGAUGCACUGUAUGUGUUAUUAAUAAAACAGCUGUAAAAAUAUUAACUGUACGGCCUAAUUGUCAGCCCUGAUUGGGAGCCAAGUUUAUCCCCGGACGGAUGCGGAGACUCAGAAUUUGGGCUUCCAUCCAG
rnacentral:lncRNA from 10 species